CCCGCUGGCCGGGGUGCUGUGAGGGUCCCCACGCCGCUGGCUCGCUCGCCCUGAGCGGAGGGCUGGGGGGCAUGUUCCGAGCAGCUGCCUCAACCGCUUGUCUCAGGGAUCAUCCCCGUUUCUCCCCUGCGUGGCGUUGGCUGCCCGCUGACGCUUUUCCUUGGUGGAAUGGAGACCUGCCUUUGGACGAGCUGAGGAGACCGAGACCCAGCAAAAUUUCACCUUGAGGUCUGGAAAUGAACUGGACUCUGGGAGUUGGAGUAUAGAACACUGCUGCCAGAGCUGACAUUGCCACCGCCCCAACAGUCUUCAUCACGAGCCCCCUCGUUACAUAUGAUACACCUGGAUGAGAAUAGAAUCUCUAAGUCUCCCAGAAAUACUUGGAGAGUAUUUCACAGAAACACUUCUGUGAAAUCUCAAGGACAACACGUUACCAAGAAGGGAGCUGUGCCAUGGUGCCACAGUGUCUCUGUUGUUGGUCUGGCAUGUUUGUGGAAUCCCGUUCCAUACGGUCUGAUGCCAAAGUACACCAGCCCAAGGUUUCUUUUGUUCAUCCCUGAACCUCAUAUAGACCUACCAGGUAUCUUCAGGUAUGAUUCAGUGCUUCUGGACAUGCCAUGAUAGAGAAGAUUCCCACCCUUCCACAUUCUAAGACAGCAGGAAGCUUAUUUUCCCAUGCUUAUAUCAGAACACAUGCUAAUUCCCACUCUAAUUGCACUAUUCAUUCCCUGUAGAUGGGAAGCAGAUGGUUGUAUACCAGCAAGCAGAGAGAAAUGCAAGAAUACACCGUUAAUGCGCGCAUUCGCUCCUGUUUCUUGUUCUUUUGUCUGCUCUCCGUGUUAUGCCGGUCCCCCAGCAGCUCUGCUUGCCCCUCCACCAUGGGUGACAGAAUUAAUAUAUUAUACUUGUGUGAUUACCUUCACUCCAUUUCUGGGAGCUACUGCCAAAAUCCAGACAUCUAAAGAGCGUGAUAUGAAUAGACUUUUCAGGGAAACCACAGUCGUAUUUUCAAGCAAUACAUCAAUGUUUAUUCUGCUUCUUGAACAGCUUCUUAAUUCUCAUUGGAGUUUAUUAGUCACCCUUGUUCUCAGUUGAUUAAAUUUGUUUCUAGUUGCCUCCAAGAUUAUAUUGAUAGAUAUUCCUCUUUACAAUUUAAAAGGAACAUUUUUGCAGCUGACAGAGUAAGACAGAUGGAAAAAGUGAAUGCCCCACACUGUAUAGAUCUGAUUCAUCUUCCUCCCAUCUUCUUAUUUAUUUUUGCCGUGAUUGGGAACCAAAUGAACAGAGUGACAUUGGGUUUUAGUCAGAUAACUCCAUUAUUUUUGAUUUAUGGUUUCAUAUUUUUGAAAGCCAAUACAAUACAAGUAAAGAUAAAAGUUAGCUGGUGUCAUUUGUACAGUCACUCUAUUUUAUGAGUUAAUUAUUUUAGGGUACGUUAUGACCAGCACAAAUUAAAACAAUAUGGAGGGAAAGAAAAGGUAUUUAUUGUAAAAGUCUAUUCUGGUUACAUUUAACUGGUUCUCUUUAAAUAUGGACACUUCCAAGGAGUAGGAAAUUUGUACGACAUGCAAUAUGAGAGCAACGGGUGUGUUGAGCAAUUUUUAUUUCAUUUGCAAUUCUGUGUUGUUACUGGAUCAUACAUAAUCUUUGUAAGGUUGCAGGGAAGAGAA